CGGGUGGCGACCGGCGCACGGGUGAGUAACGCGUAUGCAACUUGCCUAUCAGAGGGGGAUAACCCGGCGAAAGUCGGACUAAUACCGCAUGAAGCAGGGGCCCCGCAUGGGGAUAUUUGCUAAAGAUUCAUCGCUGAUAGAUAGGCAUGCGUUCCAUUAGGCAGUUGGCGGGGUAACGGCCCACCAAACCGACGAUGGAUAGGGGUUCUGAGAGGAAGGUCCCCCACAUUGGUACUGAGACACGGACCAAACUCCUACGGGAGGCAGCAGUGAGGAAUAUUGGUCAAUGGGCGUAAGCCUGAACCAGCCAAGUCGCGUGAGGGAUGAAGGUUCUAUGGAUCGUAAACCUCUUUUAUAAGGGAAUAAAGUGCGGGACGUGUCCCGUUUUGUAUGUACCUUAUGAAUAAGGAUCGGCUAACUCCGUGCCAGCAGCCGCGGUAAUACGGAGGAUCCGAGCGUUAUCCGGAUUUAUUGGGUUUAAAGGGUGCGUAGGCGGCCUUUUAAGUCAGCGGUGAAAGUCUGUGGCUCAACCAUAGAAUUGCCGUUGAAACUGGGGGGCUUGAGUAUGUUUGAGGCAGGCGGAAUGCGUGGUGUAGCGGUGAAAUGCUUAGAUAUCACGCAGAACCCCGAUUGCGAAGGCAGCCUGCCAAGCCAUGACUGACGCUGAUGCACGAAAGCGUGGGGAUCAAACAGGAUUAGAUACCCUGGUAGUCCACGCAGUAAACGAUGAUCACUAGCUGUUUGCGAUACACAGUAAGCGGCACAGCG
rnacentral:rRNA from 1 species